AAACUUUUGUGACUUGCUGAAACGGGACUAAUCUCCUCACCGAGGCUAAGCAAGUAAAAUACGCCUCUCAUAUCCUUACCUGAGGGUGGUAAGGAAAUAAGUACCUCC
rnacentral:ncRNA from 1 species